AAAAAAGAUAGAGGUGCAAUUAUUAUAAGUAAAUUUACGGAGAAUGGUCAAUUUGAUGAAAUAAAUUGAAAGGAAUAAUUGCCGAAGUACAAAGUUUGACCAGCUUUGAUACUGGGGCUGUGGAGAAUAUCCGUAGAACUGUCAUUAUCACAAAGAUAAUGGGGAGCUGUCAGAUAU
rfam:Leptotrichia sp. oral taxon 847, complete genome.